rnacentral:rRNA from 1 species
AACGAACGCUGGCGGCAUGCCUAACACAUGCAAGUCGAACGAGACCUUCGGGUCUAGUGGCGCACGGGUGCGUAACGCGUGGGAACCUGCCCUUAGGUUCGGAAUAACUCCCCGAAAGGGGUGCUAAUACCGGAUAAUUUCUUCGGACCAAAGAUUUAUCGCCUUUGGAUGGGCCCGCGUUGGAUUAGCUAGUUGGUAGGGUAAAAGCCUACCAAGGCGACGAUCCAUAGCUGGUCUGAGAGGAUGAUCAGCCACACUGGGACUGAGACACGGCCCAGACUCCUACGGGAGGCAGCAGUGGGGAAUAUAGGACAAUGGGCGAAAGACUGAUCCAGCAAGGCCGCGUGAGUGAUGAAGGCCUUAGGGUUGUAAAGCUCUUUUACCCGGGAUGAUAAUGACAGUACCGGGAGAAUAAGCUCCGGCUAACUCCGUG